GACGAACGCUGGCGGCGUGCCUAACACAUGCAAGUCGAGCGAAUGAAGUUCCUUCGGGAAUGGAUUUAGCGGCGGACGGGUGAGUAACACGUGGGCAACCUGCCUCAUAGAGGGGAAUAGCCUCCCGCAAGGGAGAUUAAUACCGCAUAAGAUAGUAGUACCGCAUGAUACAGCAAUUAAAGGAGCAAUCCGCUAUGAGAUGGUCCCGCGGCGCAUUAGCUAGUUGGUGAGGUAAUGGCUCACCAAGGCGACGAUGCGUAGCCGACCUGAGAGGGUGAUCGGCGACAUCGGGGGUGAGACGCGGCCGAGAAUCCUACGGGAGGGAGGAGUGGGGAAUAUUGCACAAUGGGGGAAAUCAUGAUGCAGCAACGCCGGGUGAGUGAUGACGGCCUUCGGGUUGUAAAGCUCUGUCUUCAGGGACGAUAAUGACGGUACCUGAGGAGGAAGCCACGGCUAACUACGUG
rnacentral:rRNA from 1 species